AACUAGGAGUGAAGAAAUUAUAUCGGAUUAUACAUCCAUGCCUGGCACAUCAGGGGCACCUGUUUUCUUACAAAGAGCCAAUAGGGUGGUUGGAGUGAACAGUGGAGUAAUUAGUGGGACUAUCAAGACUUUUAUUUCUGUCCGAACCGUAGAGGCGACUUUAAGAGAGUGGCUUCAAAUUGGAGAUGAAAACAUAACUAUCCAGGAGAUGCUAGAGAGGAUUGCUGAACAAUGAAGUACGAAGGGCAUUAUCUUCAACCUAAGGAUGAUGGACAAGAAUAACUGAUUCGGACAUUCGGUUGGAAGUAAGAGACAAGUUAUGUUGAAAAAUAUCAAGAAAUGCUUUCACUGAAACGAUCCAGUGUCGAGGGUCUAUUUCAAUCGUAUCUGUUCUAGGACUUGGAAUUUCAGUUUUAUAUGUGCUAACACUUGAAUUUAAAUGUACCGUCCGUCUUUUUCAUCUUAAUCUGCAUAUUGGAUGCUGGAGCAAAUUUGAGCAAUGUGCAUUUGUGCUACUAGAUGCAUGUGCCACGUCAUGCUCCGCGAUAUUGUAUCGGUUGGGCGACCACCUUUUUGUC